ACCGAAGUAGCUCAAUGGAAGAGCAGGAGGUUAUGCAUCUAGGUUGCUGGUUCAAUCGCAGCAUUCGAUU